rnacentral:lncRNA from 1 species
UGCCCUGUGCCUGGGUGAGUGAGGUGUGCAAGGUGGGCCUCUGUUCUGCUGCCAGCCCAGCCAAUGAUGGCAAGGACAGAGGGUUCAAAGCUCCGACCCCCAUUGUAAACAGGGGGCAGAGGAGCCGCCCACCUGAGCAGCAGCAGAACCAUGCAAAGUGCCAGGUGGAGGUGAAACACAGCCAGGGACACGACUGUUGGUAUUUCGGGUCAACUCACCUUGAGCUGGAGGGAUCAGUCAGCCUCCAAGAAGGCACGACGUGACACAGUCCAGACCCCCUGCCCGCCUCUGCUGGCUUGUUCUACACACACCUGAGUUGGCAAGUGUGUGAAGUAACCUCCUCCGAGUCCUGGACUGUGGACAGUGAUGCCACUUUUUGGCACACCUCCCCUAGAAUUUAAGGAGACCAAGACAUUGUGAAAACCAAGUGUCUCACACCUUGCCAGGACCUAUAAAGUCAAGGGCGGUGCUGGCAUAUUUUGUUCCUGUGACAGGGGCUGAUGAGGUCACUGUGGGAAUCACAGCAAGUCCAAGUCCAUGAGGCUUAGGGAGAAGGCUGUGCAUCACCCUCACGGGCCAGGAGCUCCAGGAACAGCUUUCCCAGAUUCACGCCGAGGAAGUCCUGAAUCCAGGAAGGAGGUUCCAUGGCCACCUGGCACCAUGUGUCAAUCUCCCAGGUCUGUGAGCACUCUGGUCUCAGCCAGCUGAGGAAGCCUUGGGUCAACAUGAAAAUGCACAC